rnacentral:tRNA from 2 species
UGCGCUGUGGAGCAGUUGGUCAGCUCGCUAGGCUCAUAACCUAGAGGUCGCAGGUUCGAAUCCUGCUGGCGCACCUA